rnacentral:rRNA from 1 species
CUUGUUCCAAGAAAAGCCUCUAAGCUUCAGUCAUACGAGACCGUACCGCAAACCGACACAGGUGGGCGAGAUGAGUAUUCUAAGGCGCUUGAGAGAACUCGGGAGAAGGAACUCGGCAAAUUGGUACCGUAACUUCGGGAAAAGGUACGCCCCGGUAGCUUGAUUGGUUUACUCCAUGAGGGUGAAAGGGUUGCAAUAAACUGGUGGCUGCGACUGUUUAAUAAAAACACAGCACUCUGCAAACACGAAAGUGGACGUAUAGGGUGUGACGCCUGCCCGGUGCUGGAAGAUUAAAUGAUGGGGUGCAAGCUCUUGAUUGAAGUCCCAGUAAACGGCGGCCGUAACUAUAACGGUCCUAAGGUAGCGAAAUUCCUUGUCGGGUAAGUUCCGACCUGCACGAAUGGCGUAACGAUGGCCACACUGUCUCCUCCCGAGACUCAGCGAAGUUGAAAUGUUUGUGAUGAUGCAAUCUACCCGCGGCUAGACGGAAAGACCCCAUGAACCUUUACUGUAGCUUUGCAUUGGACUUUGAACCAAUCUGUGUAGGAUAGGUGGGAGGCUUUGAAGCGGGGACGCUAGUUCUCGUGGAGCCAACCUUGAAAUACCACCCUGGUUUGUUUGAGGUUCUAACCUUGGUCCGUUAUCCGGAUCGGGGACAGUGCAUGGUAGGCAGUUUGACUGGGGCGGUCUCCUCCUAAAGUGUAACGGAGGAGUUCGAAGGUACGCUAGAUACGGUCGGACAUCGUGUUGAUAGUGCAAUGGCAUAAGCGUGCUUAACUGCGAGACUGACAAGUCGAGCAGGUACGAAAGUAGGACAUAGUGAUCCGGUGGUUCUGUAUGGAAGGGCCAUCGCUCAACGGAUAAAAGGUACUCUGGGGAUAACAGGCUGAUUCCUCCCAAGAGUUCAUAUCGACGGGGGAGUUUGGCACCUCGAUGUCGGCUCAUCACAUCCUGGGGCUGUAGCCGGUCCCAAGGGUAUGGCUGUUCGCCAUUUAAAGUGGUACGUGAGCUGGGUUUAAAACGUCGUGAGACAGUUUGGUCCCUAUCUGCCGUGGGCGUUGGAAAUUUGAAGGGGGCUGCUCCUAGUACGAGAGGACCGGAGUGGACGAACCUCUGGUGUACCGGUUGUCACGCCAGUGGCAUUGCCGGGUAGCUAAGUUCGGAAGAGAUAACCGCUGAAAGCAUCUAAGCGGGAAACUUGCCUUGAGAUGAGAUUUCCCAGAGCCUUGAGCUCUUUGAAGGGUCGUUCGAGACCAGGACGUUGAUAGGCUGGGUGUGGAAACAAAAA